UAAUACAGGGGUCUCGAGCGUUAAUCGGAAUCACUGGGCUUAAAGGGUGCGUAGGCGGGCCUGUAAGUGCCCCGUGAAAUCCCCCGGCUCAACCGGGGAACCGCGGGGCAUACUGCGGGUCUUGAGGCAAGUAGAGGCCGGUGGAACGAUAGGUGGAGCGGUGGAAUGCGUAGAUAUCUAUCGGAACGCCGAAGGUGAAGACAGCCGGCUGGGCUUUGCCUGACGCUGAGGCACGAAAGCGUGGGGAGCAAACCGGAUUAGAUACCCGGGUAGUCCACGCCCUAAACGAUGCGCACUAGAUCGGGGCAGAUCUGACUCUGUCCUGGUCGUAGAGAAAUUGCUAAGUGCGCCGCCUGGGGAGUACGGUCGCAAGGCUA
rnacentral:rRNA from 1 species